rnacentral:lncRNA from 1 species
AUGUCAGUGAGGAGAAGAAAUUACAAUCCUACCAUAUGCCAGGAAGAGAAAAAGCCAGACGUAUUUGUGAAGAGCAAUAGUGACUACCCAAAACUCCUGUGUUGGGUCACUUUAAUAAUAAGGCAUUUUAUAAAUGAACCUGUUCUAUACAAUACAGACUUUCACACAGAGAGAGACAUCAACUUCAUAUUCAUCACUGAAAUCAAUCCAAGAGGAUAUCCUUCUUAACUAGGCAUUCUGUGAGUACACAACUUAAUAUUUCAUUGUGAUAUACAGUCAGGGAUCCUGAACAAGGAUGAAUAUAAUUUAUACAAAGUCACCUUCAUGUAAAUCGAAAUUUUAGAUGAAAGUGAGAAUGGCUAUUUCUUAAUCAUAGUAUCUUCAUUAUUCCUGGUACAUCUAAGAGUUCUGACACAAGAUACUGGUGGUAAAAAUUAGUGUUGCGUGAUACUAAACAAAUCUUGUGAGGCAUCUUUUCCCUUUGCAAUUGUUUUUCAAGAUUUUUAUAUUUGUGACCAUUCAAAACUACCCCUAAAGUUACUUCAG